rnacentral:misc_RNA from 1 species
UUCUGGUACUGUCUGGGGUUCUGCAGCCUGAGAAACACUUGAUUAAGCAUGGAAAUUGGAAAUUAUUUCAUCAAUUCCUGUGUAUGACUGAUAUAACAAUUGAAGAAACUAGUCUCCUCAUCUAGUCAUAAUUGAGAUUUACACAAACGUUGGCUAUAACAUUUUCUGCAUCAGAUUACUCACUUAUCGGAAGACAAAAUAAUAAGAAGAAAGGAAACUUGAAUUAGCUAAUAUCCUGCAUUAUGCUACGUCAUGAGGAGCAUCUCACUACUUUU